UACGAAGGGGGCUAGCGUUGUUCGGAAUUACUGGGCGUAAAGCGCACGUAGGCGGACAUUUAAGUCAGGGGUGAAAUCCCGGGGCUCAACCCCGGAACUGCCUUUGAUACUGGGUGUCUGGAGUAUGGAAGAGGUGAGUGGAAUUCCGAGUGUAGAGGUGAAAUUCGUAGAUAUUCGGAGGAACACCAGUGGCGAAGGCGGCUCACUGGUCCAUUACUGACGCUGAGGUGCGAAAGCGUGGGGAGCAAACAGGAUUAGAUAACCUAGUAGUCC
rnacentral:rRNA from 1 species